rnacentral:rRNA from 1 species
CAGGGACGAAAGUCGGUCUUAGUGAUCCGGUGGUUCUGUAUGGAAGGGCCAUCGCUCAACGGAUAAAAGGUACUCCGGGGAUAACAGGCUGAUACCGCCCAAGAGUUCACAUCGACGGCGGUGUUUGGCACCUCGAUGUCGGCUCAUCUCAUCCUGGGGCUGGAGCAGGUCCCAAGGGUACGGCUGUUCGCCGUUUAAAGAGGUACGUGAGCUGGGUUUAGAACGUCGUGAGACAGUUCGGUCCCUAUCUGCCGUGGGUGUAGGAUACUUGAGAGGAGUUGCCCCUAGUACGAGAGGACCGGGGUGAACGUUCCACUGGUGGACCAGUUGUCGUGCCAACGGCAGUGCUGGGUAGCUAUGAACGGACAGGAUAACCGCUGAAGGCAUCUAAGCGGGAAGCCCCCCUCAAAACAAGGUAUCCCUGAGGACCGUGGUAGACCACCACGUCGAUAGGCCGGAGAUGUAAGCGCAGCAAUGCGUUCAGUUGACCGGUACUAAUUGUCC